rnacentral:lncRNA from 1 species
AAGAACAGAACCAUCUUUUUCUUCUUUCAAAUUUAAUUCCGUAAGAGAAAUUCAAGUAGUAGCUGCAAUACCUUAAAAGAAAAGGUGAAUUCUUCGAUUCUCUAUCUCUCUAUGAUUUUAACUUGAAGAAAAUUUCUGUUUUGAAAUCUAGGGUUUCUUCGAGAAUUUGGAGAUUUUAUGCUAGAGUUAAAAUAUGAUUGUAAUAUUGAGAUAUAUUAUGUUUUUGAUGUUCCUAAGCAUGAUUAUGGUGGUUAAUUGUAUUAAUUCUUACUUGAUUUCGAGUUUACUCAAGUUAGUAUGAACCCUAGGUUUGAGGUUGAGAGUUUUGAUUAUGUUCUUGAAUAAUUGGACUCAUAUAUGUGUUCUUGAGUUGGAAUUAUGUCAUAUAUGAGUAAAUUACGAGUUUACACCAUAUAGGAUGUGAGAUUGAGUUUGUUAGUUUAAUGAAAAUUGGGGCUUUUGAGAUAAGAAGGUUUAUAUGCUAUUUAUUGAUGGAUGUAGAUAUAUUAUGAUGUGAUUUUAUCAAAUAUAUGGAAAUUAGAACAGCCCUAAUGUGUGGAAAAUUGUUAUAAGAAUUGUUAUGUUGUAACUUGUUGGCUUUGUUGUGUUAAACAUGAGUUAAGUUUGAAGUUAAAGCAUUCUAGUAUGUAUUAUGAUCGUGUAUUUGAGUCUACACAUUUUAUUUGGCCAAAGUAUGAGUUAUAUGUUGAAUUGAAACAAAGAAUACAUUGAUGUCAGUUUUUAACUUGGCAGAGCAGUGUCUUGGGGGAUGAUUUUAAUGAUGUUCCCAUAGUCCAAAUGAGUUGAAAUUUUUACUGUAAUAACUUUAUCAUGAGUAGUACGUUUCUGCAAAAUUUCAGCUAAAUCCGAGACCAUUAGAUGUGUCAAACGAGUUUCUGAAAUGUACUGCGCGAAGCAGCGAAGUUCAGUGGCAGAUUUUGCCUUUUGUGAGAUAAUUUCAUAUACACUUGAGAUAUUGUAUUUUUGUAACUUUCUAAUAAAAAUAGACUCUGAG